rnacentral:lncRNA from 1 species
GCUCUUCAGCUCUGCACAGAACCGGAAGCCAGGUUCAUGCCAAAUCUGUAAAUACCAUGUGGGUCUGUGUCCAGGAACUUCUGUUUUCUAUGAAGAAACAGACAAAACAAAAAACAAACAAAAAAAAAACAAAAACAAGAAAAACCCAAACAAACAAAAACAAAAAAGGGGAGGGGGUAAAGGCAAGAGGACUUUUGGGAAGAGAACAAAAUUGAAUUUUCUUGCAGGAAACACCCUUCUCAAAGAGAAGGACAACAGCAAAAAUGGGCAGAGCAGCCGCAGAACGGGAGGAGGAGGAGGCGUCGGUGGGGCCCAUGGCGGCCCUGGGGUUGAGAGUGCUGUGCUAGAAGUUUCAUUUCACCUAAGAGAUGACAAAAAUCUAGAAAUGCUUUAGGGCUAGGCUUUAACUUCUUCAAACUCUGUUUUGGGUGGGUUUCUUGUUUCUCUUUUCUUGUAAAAAUGUCUGUACUGACUGGCUCCAGGCUUGUUUGCCUAAAUUCUUAGGUGGUUUACACAAGUUCUCAAUUCUUGUAGAACUUUAAAUCCAUUGGAAGCAAACCCAGCCAGUGUAGAUCUGAGGUCCUGGCUGGUGUCAGUAGGUGUUCUGGAACUCAGGCAGAGCACCUAACAAAAUCUUCAGAAGGUUUUAGCUACAUUAUCUUACACAAACUGUGACCCUAAUGGCAAUAAUUACCUCAAAUGUGGGCAUUCGUCCUGGUCUAGCCUUUUUUGAAAUCAUGUAGCCAGCUUGAUCUUGUGAUUUAAAAGACAAUGAAUUGUUCCCUGUGGGCUGAAAGUAAGGAUUGACGCAUACCCUGGUCACUGUUGCCUAAGUGAAUUCUGAGAAUAAAAUUCUCAUCAUUACACCAGAAGUGAAACCAAGAAGAGAUGAUGAUGUCUGCGUGUCAUAAUCAGCAUGCUGUUCAAGUGCACAGAGCAUGUUUCUCUAGGUAACGUGCCCUCUGAGUUCUCCACUAUCAAGUAAAUGACACAACUGACUGUAGAUACUCAUACAGACUUCUGGCUACAUUUUAUAGUUAAAGUAUUUUAUAGUUUACAUUUAAUCUGGUACUUUUU